rnacentral:rRNA from 1 species
AGUGAACGCUGGCGGUAGGCCUAACACAUGCAAGUCGAACGGCAGCACAGUAAGAGCUUGCUCUUACGGGUGGCGAGUGGCGUACGGGUGAGGAAUACAUCGGAAUCUACUUUUUCGUGGGGGAUAACGUAGGGAAACUUACGCUAAUACCGCAUACGACCUACGGGUGAAAGCAGGGGAUCUUCGGACCUUGCGCGAUUGAAUGAGCCGAUGUCGGAUUAGCUAGUUGGCGGGGUAAAGGCCCACCAAGGCGACGAUCCGUAGCUGGUCUGAGAGGAUGAUCAGCCACACUGGAACUGAGACACGGUCCAGACUCCUACGGGAGGCAGAAGUGGGGAAUAUUGGACAAUGGGCGCAAGCCUGAUCCAGCCAUACCGCGUGGGUGAAGAAGGCCUUCGGGUUGUAAAGCCCUUUUGUUGGGAAAGAAAAGCAGCAGGUUAAUACCCCGCUGUUCUGACGGUACCCAAAGAAUAAGCACCGGCUAACUUCGUG